UUUAUCAAAAACAUCGCCUCUUGAAAACCACAUAUAAGAGGUCCCGCCUGCCCUGUGACUAAUUGUUUAACGGCCGCGGUAUCCUGACCGUGCGAAGGUAGCGCAAUCACUUGUCUUUUAAAUGAAGACCUGUAUGAAUGGCAUAACGAGGGCUUGACUGUCUCCUUUUUCAAGUCAAUGAAAUUGAUCUCCCCGUGCAGAAGCGGGGAUGUAACCAUAAGACGAGAAGACCCUAUGGAGCUUUAGACACUAAGGCAGCUCACACCACCUACUCCUAUAACAAUAGGCCGUAAACCUGAGCGAACCCUGCCCCACUGUCUUUGGUUGGGGCGACCAUGGGGAAAUAAAAAACCCCCACACGGAAUGGGAGUACACGCUCCCGGAACCAAGAGCCACAGCUCUAAUUAACAGAACUUCUGACCACCAAGAUCCGGCAUUGCCGAUCAAUGAACCGAGUUACCCUAGGGAUAACAGCGCAAUCUCCUUUUAGAGUCCAUAUCGACAAGGGGGUUUACGACCUCGAUGUUGGAUCAGGACAUCCUAAUGGUGCAGCCGCUAUUAAGGGUUCGUUUGUUCAACGAUUAAAGUCCUACGUGAUCUGAGUUUCAACCGGGA
rnacentral:rRNA from 1 species